rnacentral:rRNA from 1 species
AAAUUGAAGAGUUUGAUCAUGGCUCAGAUUGAACGCUGGCGGCAGGCCUAACACAUGCAAGUCGAACGGUAACAGGAAAAAGCUUGCUUCUUUGCUGACGAGUGGCGGACGGGUGAGUAAUGUCUGGGAAACUGCCUGAUGGAGGGGGAUAACUACUGGAAACGGUAGCUAAUACCGCAUAACGUCGCAAGACCAAAGAGGGGGACCUUCGGGCCUCUUGCCAUCGGAUGUGCCCAGAUGGGAUUAGCUUGUUGGUGGGGUAACGGCUCACCAAGGCGACGAUCCCUAGCUGGUCUGAGAGGAUGACCAGCCACACUGGAACUGAGACACGGUCCAGACUCCUACGGGAGGCAGCAGUGGGGAAUAUUGCACAAUGGGCGCAAGCCUGAUGCAGCCAUGCCGCGUGUAUGAAGAAGGCCUUCGGGUUGUAAAGUACUUUCAGCGGGGAGGAAGGGAGUAAAGUUAAUACCUUUGCUCAUUGACGUUACCCGCAGAAGAAGCACCGGCUAACUCCGUGCCAGCAGCCGCGGUAAUACGGAGGGUGCAAGCGUUAAUCGGAAUUACUGGGCGUAAAGCGCACGCAGGCGGUUUGUUAAGUCAGAUGUGAAAUCCCCGGGCUCAACCUGGGAACUGCAUCUGAUACUGGCAAGCUUGAGUCUCGUAGAGGGGGGUAGAAUUCCAGGUGUAGCGGUGAAAUGCGUAGAGAUCUGGAGGAAUACCGGUGGCGAAGGCGGCCCCCUGGACGAAGACUGACGCUCAGGUGCGAAAGCGUGGGGAGCAAACAGGAUUAGAUACCCUGGUAGUCCACGCCGUAAACGAUGUCGACUUGGAGGUUGUGCCCUUGAGGCGUGGCUUCCGGAGCUAACGCGUUAAGUCGACCGCCUGGGGAGUACGGCCGCAAGGUUAAAACUCAAAUGAAUUGACGGGGGCCCGCACAAGCGGUGGAGCAUGUGGUUUAAUUCGAUGCAACGCGAAGAACCUUACCUGGUCUUGACAUCCACAGAACUUUCCAGAGAUGGAUUGGUGCCUUCGGGAACUGUGAGACAGGUGCUGCAUGGCUGUCGUCAGCUCGUGUUGUGAAAUGUUGGGUUAAGUCCCGCAACGAGCGCAACCCUUAUCCUUUGUUGCCAGCGGUCCGGCCGGGAACUCAAAGGAGACUGCCAGUGAUAAACUGGAGGAAGGUGGGGAUGACGUCAAGUCAUCAUGGCCCUUACGACCAGGGCUACACACGUGCUACAAUGGCGCAUACAAAGAGAAGCGACCUCGCGAGAGCAAGCGGACCUCAUAAAGUGCGUCGUAGUCCGGAUUGGAGUCUGCAACUCGACUCCAUGAAGUCGGAAUCGCUAGUAAUCGUGGAUCAGAAUGCCACGGUGAAUACGUUCCCGGGCCUUGUACACACCGCCCGUCACACCAUGGGAGUGGGUUGCAAAAGAAGUAGGUAGCUUAACCUUCGGGAGGGCGCUUACCACUUUGUGAUUCAUGACUGGGGUGAAGUCGUAACAAGGUAACCGUAGGGGAACCUGCGGUUGGAUCACCUCCUUACCUUAAAGAAGC